UCAAAUUCUAAGAACAGAAAUAGUAACUAUAUACUUUAGUUUUAGCGAGUUGAGGGUGGUGUAAGCUCAAUACUAUAAGAUGUAGUGAAUGGGUCUGGGAGAAGUAAACCGAAAUUUAAUUAGAGUAGGCUUUACCGUAAUACUGCACGUUAUAGCAGUUAGGAUAUGUUAGUAUCUGAAAUGAGAGAUGCUUUAAAAGCAUAAUUUAGGUGGUACCGCGAGUAAACUUCGUCCUAUUG
rnacentral:ncRNA from 1 species